UCCGAAUUGGUGUAGUGGCUAACAUUUGACGCUCUCAAGACUUCCUAGUUGAAGGACCGUCAAGCCCGGGGUUCGAUUCCCCGAUUCGGAG